rnacentral:antisense_RNA from 1 species
CUUGAGUGACCCGAGCAGCAACGGCAUGUCCCGGUCCUGACCGUAGGUCGCGAGCAGCGCCUGCGCCUC